rnacentral:rRNA from 1 species
GAUGAACGCUGGCGGCGUGCUUAACACAUGCAAGUCGAACGGAAAGGCUCCUGCUUGCCGGGGUACUCGAGUGGCGAACGGGUGAGUAACACGUGGGUGAUCUGCCCUGCACUUCGGGAUAAGCCUGGGAAACUGGGUCUAAUACCGGAUAGGACCACAUUUUGGAUGGUGUGGUGGAAAGUUUUUCGGUGUGGGAUGAGCUCGCGGCCUAUCAGCUUGUUGGUGGGGUAAUGGCCUACCAAGGCGUCGACGGGUAGCCGGCCUGAGAGGGUGUACGGCCACAUUGGGACUGAGAGACGGCCCAGACUCCUACGGGAGGCAGCAGUGGGGAAUAUUGCACAAUGGGCGCAAGCCUGAUGCAGCGACGCCGCGUGGGGGAUGACGGCCUUCGGGUUGUAAACUCCUUUCGCUAGGGACGAAGCGUUUUUGUGACGGUACCUGGAGAAGAAGCACCGGCUAACUACGUG